rnacentral:lncRNA from 9 species
GAGGUGUAUGAGUUUUCUUUAUGUGUGCUUUGGAGAGGAACCUCACGGGCAGGGGUACCCGUCUCCUCAGUGUUUCUGUAGAGCUGCUGUCCACAGCGUGGCAGCCGCUGUCCAGAGGGAGCCAUUUAUGCUUCAUUGAAUUCAGCCAGUAGUUAGGUCUGCCUCUGGCAGUGAACAGAAGAAAGCAGCCAAGGGUUCACUCCCCCGAGCCAGCACGCAAGGGUGUCCGUGCAGCUGGACUUUCAGGUGUGUCACGCUGGGGCUGAGGCCUCCGGAGGACUCCUAGAAGGGAGGCGUGCGUGUAAAGCGCCAUCCCUCAGCAGCCCACGACCUCGGACGGUUUGCCACUGUGGCCAGUGUUUUAUUGAUGCUUCUGAGGCCAUAGAGCACGCACGGGGAAGUUCUGAGCACACGGAGGACAAGCCAGGGCGGUGCUGUGUGGCCGCAGUCAACCCUAAGUAGGGUCCGAGUGGGGGACGGUCGCUAACACCUCGAUUCCUCAUGUCUGUGUUUCUGCAGCUUGGAGCUUGGAGAGUGUGUGUGAGAGCGACCUCGCUGACAGCAACCUCGCAGAAAGUGAUCGAGACUCGGUGGCGGAGCGCACCGACUGCCGCCAGGAUGAGGAGGCUGCAGACUGUUGCUUUGGGAGCAAAGGAUCGUGCUUCAAAAGUCUGAGGACAAGUUUGUCCUCUGCGAGCUUGGCUAGAAUAAUUCCCCGGUGGCCACACAACAGGGUGCACCUUGCCACUGAGCCAGAUGAAGGAACUCACGACGACGAUGUUGUGGAGGCCGGUGGGAGUGAGAAGACCGAGGCAAAGCCCCGGGCUGGGGGACAUGAGGACGAGGCGGCCCCAGUACCUGAGGUGGAGGGGAGGAGGAGGCGGGCCAGCCCCGUGAAAAUGGCCAGGAGGAGUCCUAGCCAUCGCCUGGGCUGAGCCGGAAGACGAGCCUGGCCCCAAGGUGGACGGGGCGGACGAUGAAAUCUGUGAGUAUUCUGGAGCCCGGCUGUGCUGAGGAGAAGUCCAGGUGUUGAGGAAAUGGGGG